rnacentral:rRNA from 1 species
AACGAACGCUGGCGGCGUGGAUUAGGCAUGCAAGUCGAACGCGAAAGAGGGAGCAAUCCCUCAAGUAGAGUGGCGAACGGGUGAGUAACGCGUGAAGAACCUGCCUUCAACAGGGGGAUAACACUCCCAACGGGGUGCUAAUACCGCAUGAGACCACGGGUCCGCAUGGACCUGAGGUCAAAGGUGGCCUCUGCCUGCAAGCUACCGGUUGAAGAUGGCUUCGCGUCCCAUUAGCUAGUUGGCGGUGUAAAGACCACCAAGGCGACGAUGGGUAGCUGGUCUGAGAGGAUGGUCAGCCACACUGGGACUGAGAUACGGCCCAGACUCCUACGGGAGGCAGCAGUCGAGAGGCUUUGGCAAUGGGGGAAACCCUGACCAAGCGACGCCGCGUGGAGGAUGAAGGCCCUUGGGUUGUAAACUCUUUGUCGGGAAGAAUGCGAUCAGGUAAACAAUCUGGUCG